rnacentral:rRNA from 1 species
UACGUAGGGGGCGAGCGUUGUCCGGAUUUAUUGGGCGUAAAGAGCGUGUAGGCGGCCAGGUAGGUCUGCUGUGAAAACUCGAGGCUCAACCUCGAGACGUCGGCGGAAACCAUCUGGCUAGAGUCCGGAAGAGGAGAGUGGAAUUCCUGGUGUAGCGGUGAAAUGCGCAGAUAUCAGGAGGAACACCCAUGGCGAAGGCAGCAAACUGGUCAUCAACUGACGCUGAGGCGCGAAAGCGUGGGUAGCAAACAGG